GCCGCUAUCGUCUAGUGGACUAGGAUAUCUGGUUCUCAUCCAGAAGAUCGCGGGUUCGAAUCCCGCUAGCGGUACAA
rnacentral:tRNA from 6 species